rnacentral:piRNA from 1 species
UGGAACUUCCAUUUUUAACCCUGACAUGG